rnacentral:tRNA from 1 species
GAAGGGUUAGUAUAAUUGAUUACAUAAGAUUGCAAGUCUUAGGAUUGAUUCUUCU